GGUUCUAAUACCACUUGAAAGAAAAUAUUUGGAAAACUAAGUUCAUUAAGCAACAUAUUGCAUGCAUUUAACAAUUACGUCAUAGAAACAUGCUUGUAUGCAUUUUAAAACAAAAGUUAAACCAUGAACUUUUAAAGCCUGGUAGUGGUGGUGAACCAAGAUGCAACUAAAAAACAAAGUGAGUUGAGAAACUUUUAUACCUUUGAAGCACCUCUUUGUUUAGUAAAGGAUAUUCAACCAUGAGGGCCGUCUUUCGUUUGUUUCUUCACUCUUUGGCUCCAUGGAUGUAGAUGGAAGAACUUUGCUUGUUGGCUCCAUAUCUUAUUGGAUUCGGAUGGAGGAAGAGAUUGCUAGAUAUUCCCUCUUCUAGGGCUGACCUCUGAGAGAGAAAAAGAGAGAAAAAGUUCUCUCAUUUUUCCUCGAGGAAAACCCUAAAGAGGUUAAGGCUAUAAAGUUGCCUUUAUACCUCUUUCUAAGUGAAAGGCAAACUUGUAAUACGUCCACCCUCAUUCCCUCUUAUGCAAGGCUGGUUUUGGCUUUAGUUUUCGGUUGAUUCUCACUUAUUUUAGUUUUCGUACAACUUAAACUCAAUGGGCCUUAUGGACCAAAACCCUUUUGGACCCUGAAACCCAAAACUAACAUAAAAGCCAAAUACGAACCUUUCGUCUGAUUAAUUAACAUAUUAAUUAAUCCUUGCCUUAUACAACUAAACUAUUUAACUGUCUUUACUCAUCUUCAUCAUAUCCUUCAAUCAUUGCCUGACACAAUCUGCAAUCUAUUAGGUUCCUUUUAGAGAGGCAGUGGGAGAUUAGUACUUUUACUAAUCAAUUGUGAAUUGAAACUUGCUUUCAAUUCUACCUUUAGUGAUUAUACAUCUCCAGAGCUUCCAUAAGCCAUGAGUGACACCUAGCAGUAUGUCAUGGCUACCCAAACUAAUCAUAAGAGGUUGGGGAACCUAUUUAAUUUAGGAUUAAAAAUGCAAUACGGUAUUUCUCUAAUACAAUAAUCUUGAUCACAUUGUUUGGUUUGAUAUUUUACUCAUGUCUACUAUCCAAUGUGACUCUCUUGUCUAUAUGAUUACCUUGAAUGCAAUUCAAAACAACUUCCUAAAUCUCAUUCAUACACUAGCUAGAUAUUCUUAAUUAUAUCAUAGAGUAUUCUCCCUCAAUGGUUUGAAGGUUGGAGAUUCCUUGUUGCAUAUUCACAUGCCCCCAUGAUUAAGUAGCUUAGCUCCAACUAUGUCGUGGACACUCUCUAAUGGAAUGUCUUUAACAAACUCAAAGACUAAGGACCUAACCAUAAGACAACUCAGGUCAAAGGACUACUUUGCAUUAUCCCAACUAUGAGCUCUCAUGUGACAUAAGUAUGAGAAUUCCUCGUUGAUCGCAUUCGAUGGACUCAAUCUUUAUUGAGCACCUGCAUAUUUUUCUUGGUGUCAUUCACACCAAUAACUCGAGACCAGUCUCUUUCUCGAAGAGAAGACAUAGAAUGUACUGAUCUUAACGGGUCGCCAAUUCCCAAUCAGCAAUCAUUUAUCAAGAACAUUUAGGAUAUAUGUACAAAAUAGAAUGGUCUCAUGAAUCUAACUUCUUUAGAUCAUAUUCUCCUAGUUACAUAUUCCUUGGACUUAGUAUUUAAGCGUAUAACAUUUAAUGAGGCAGCUUUGAACAAUCAUCUUUAGGCUUAUAUUGACCUAGUUUAGUUUAACAUGUGAAAUGUUUGUAAAGUAUCACCUUAUGAUUGGCUUUAGGGCAUAUUUCCAACAGGGGAAAGGAUGGGCAUAAUUUCACUUAUGCCACUCACUUGUGAGGUGGUAUAAAAAUGACUUUAUAGACAAAAGUUCAUUAGAGUGUAUUUUUAGAGAAAAAUAAUGUGGAGGCACAUUCUCUACUCCUAGCUAAGAACAUGUGAAAACAUUUGAACACAUAAGCAAACUAAUAACACUUUAAAGUAGGCAUACAUUAAAAAAAUAAUUCUAAAAACCCAUGACUUUCAAAGUCUAGUGAAUGGUGAACCAAAAUACACUUUAACAACUUAAAGAGAAGAGAGAGUUUGAGUUUUAUUACCCUUGAAGCUCAUCCUUGUUUCAGGGUGUGUGUGUGUGUGUGUGUUUAUUUUUUUAUUUUUUUAUUUUUUUUUAUUUUUCUUUUUAUUUUUUUGAGUUGGCUUGUUUUAAAGCUCAACUUCAAAAGGCAAGGCAAUACCCCCAAUAGCUUGCAAUUUGGAAAGAGUGAACUGUUGAAAUUGGGGAAGGAGAAGCUUUGGAGUGAGCUCUUCAUGGGAAAAGGGAAAAAGUAAUGUUUUCUUAUGUUACUUGGUUCUUAUAAACCCAUCUAGCUCAUCCAAAUGAACGCAUAUAGCUCAUCUAAAUGAACCCUAGGUUCAUAGCCCACCAAUUACCCAGCACUCAACCCACACACCCCCACCAUCUAGAUGCCCACAGGUUUAGUACUGCUACUCGGUUUCUUAUGUUACUUUGGCUUUUGCUAUGUGCAGCAUGCAGUUAGUCGAACUGAUUAUGACAACGUGAUUGGAGCCUUGCCAUAUCUAAAAGUAAAUAGGAAGGCAGAGUAAAGGUGAUUUCCAAACUUUAUGCAAAUGGAAUUUCUGACACGUACUCUUUUAUUUCUCAAAUCUUUGUACAAGUGUUUGAUCUUUUUUUUCUUCAAUGAUCUUUAUUUCCUUGCCAAUUGAGGGUGUUGCUGUUACAUUUUCAACGUACGGACAUAUAUCAUGGAAACAAUUACUUUUUAUAUAGUUUCCUCUUUUGCAAACGUACGAACAUAUAUCAUGGAAACAAUUACUUUUUAUAUAGUUUCCUCUUUUGCAAGUGAUGUGAAAUAUUCUAACACACAAAUUAAACCAUAUUAAGAUAGUUGUAGUAUAUGAAAGUAAGGAUCGUUCUAGGCCGGAGAUUAACUAGGACUGCUAAUCUACACAAAUAUGACUCAAAAACACAAAACUAGACUUAAAAACACUUAACUAGACUCAAAGAACUCAAAACAAACUAAAAAGACUCAAAAGAACACAAAACAAUCAAAUAGACUCAAACUAGACACUAGAGGGUGAAUUGGACGAAAAUUGAUUUUAACUUGACUCAAAACACUUAAAAACACAAACUGGACUGAUUCUAGCUAACUUGACACAACAAAAUAAAGGGGAUUGGGUUUUUGACGAAUUUAAAGUAAAGACAAUUAAAUUAAAAACUUAGACAGAUUAGACACAAAUUUGGGGGAAAUAUGGGUGAUUGGCUAGCUAGAGGGUUCUUCUCCACACAUGACACACUUGCAUACAAAACAAUUUCCAGUUGCUUUUCCAAUAAACCAUGAACCUCAAUGCCCCAGAUUAAACGUGAAAAGCACUAAUUAACCGUCAGAUUUUCCUUAAGUCAUUGAAUUGGAUGGACAAUGCAUCGACAACCAAAUUAUUCUUCAAUAGUUCCCUACAUGACAGCAUAAUAGAGAUACAAUCAAAAUCAACAAACAAGAAUAAGUUCUUAAUCAAACAGUUAAGUAAAUUGCAUUCACGAUUCAUGAAAUCACAACUGGAAGUAAGCAAUUCAUAUUGCAAAUAUGUUCAUGGCUUUGAAUUUCCCCCUAGUUAAAAGGAGUUUAGCUCCUCAUGUUCGCAAUUAAACAAAGAAAAUUAAAUUUAAACAUUAAAACAAUGGAUAGAAUACACCUAGAAACGCUCAAACAAUCCAACGUCUUGAAUGACAAGCACGGCUCCAAGGGUCUCCUCUCCUUUCUCCUUACAAAUAUGCGGCACAAUGGGAUGAAUGUGCAUGGGUGUAUAUGGCAUGAAUUUGUAGUGAAUGGUGGUAGAGGGUGGUGAUUUGAAUAAAUGUUGUAGCAAUUAUAUUUAUAGGGAGAAAAGGCACAGCCUAGGCUAUCAAGGAGAAGGAUUGGCACUCCAAAAUCCACAAGGAAUAGGUUAAAACAAUCAGAAACCAAGGGGAAUUAGGCUUACACAUAAAAAACCAUCAGGAACAAGGAUAUAAGGUGCGGCACCACUAGGAAAAGGGGUUCUAGAAGGGGUUGGGGCGCCAUUUUUAUAGGGAGAGGAGAUAAGGCUUCUAGAAUCUGAAAUAUGUAUUUUAAAUGCAUAAUUAUCCCUUAUAAAUGGCUGGAAUUAAGGCACAAACUAAUUUGGAUAAGAUAAGAUUGGAUAAUGCUAGAUUAGGAAAGGAUAAGAUAAGAUAAGGUUAGCUUGGAUAAGGUUUUGGAUAAUGUUCCUUCUUUUGAGCUGAUUCCUUAUCUUCUUUGUCUUGGAUUUAUUUUCUUCAUCUUUUCAGCACAUUCCUAUCCUUUUGAACUUCAAAUUUGUCCAUCCAUCUUGCUCCAUAUGUAAGCUAUCCAUUUGAUGCCCAAAAUUGCUCCAAAAUGCACUUUCUUGCCAACUUUGUUAAUUGGACUUACAAACACAUGAAAAUAGCUUAAAACACUAUAAUAAACACAAACUAACUAAGAAAAUGCAACAAAACAAGCUAACUAAGUCACAUAAAUAUACUCCUAUCAGCAAGAUUCUAGAACUUGGGUCUGCUGGUAAAUGCAA
rnacentral:lncRNA from 1 species